rnacentral:lncRNA from 1 species
GACAAAUUCAGCAACACAAACCGAAAGAACAUUUCCCCUAAUCAAAUAUCAAAAGCUAGGUUCUUGAUUUUCCGUACGAUAAGGAUCCUGAUUUGUAUAUCAAUCAGCCUGCUCUGAUACCAAUUGUUAGGUCCAAAGUAUCGUAGAAGGGGGGGUUGAAUACGAUACUCACUACAAUUUAAAAUUCUUUCGAAUCUUGCGGAUAAACAAAUUGCAGUUCUGUAAUGGGUUUCGUGUUCCGGAUAUUUAUUGGGUCGGUUUCUGAGGAUAUGAAAAUAUUAAACCAACACACAAUAUUUUCCAAGGUAUAUCUGUAUAUUGAUAAAUACCUCGAAGGGUGCUAUAAAUCCAAACCCGAAGGUUGGCUACAAUG